AGAAUAUUUAAGAAAAUGUCUAUAUGAUAUUUAGUAUGAGAAACGCUGAUCUAUACUAGUCAUGGGAUAUAUAUUGAAUACCAAAACUGAUAUUACCUGAAGAUGAUAAUGCAAUUGUAUUAUUUUAUGGGUGAUGGUUAAAAUUUUAAGGUAAUUAUUAGAUAAUAAUUUCCUAAAAGUAGCUCCAUGAUCAUAACCCUGUUUCUGUAUUCAAAUUCGGCUGAGUUGAAAUAUGGUCCUGUUAAAAGCAAGGAUCAAUAAAUUGUCACUGAUUAUAAGACAUAUAUAAAGAUGUUACAAACAGAAAGGCAUCUUCUAAUCAAGGAAGUGUGAAACCUAUAUUUGUGUGGAUUCUAUCACAAUUAACACCUUAUUACAAACCACUGUAAGGCACCUUCAACUAAAACAACUUUUGAAUAUUGGGCAAAUAAUUAUUCAGACUCCCUUAACUUCACUUAUUUAACCUUUGAAAGAAAGGGAAUAAGCAAGAUAUUAUCUUAUGUUUUUUCAAGCUUAAUUAUCUGAUUCUCUGGCAACUUGCCUAGAGCUGAUGUUGAUUAUGCCUGGCAGAACAGAAUACCAACUUAGCUCCCCACUUGAAGAUGUGUCUCUUGAAUAGCUGGUAUAACUGUAGAAAUUGUGGAAAUGUGGAAAUUGAUACAAAUGUAAAAAGGAUUAGAGAGAAAUUUCAUAAUUUUUCUGGAUUCAACCUUAAUAAGUAGAUAAACUAAUUUAAUUAUGCAACUUUUUACAUCUUAAAAGAAUGAUAGAGCACUUGUUAGGCUGUAAAAAAUAUUUAGGUGAUAUUUAUAUUUUUCAAGCAUUUUUGCCCCUUACUUUUUAAUUCUAAUAAGUAGCCUUGGGAUAAAUGCCAAAACAAUGCAAACUGGAAAGCCAAAGCUACAUUUCUAAUAUGUUGCCAAAAAAAUUAAUGCAAUUGGAUGACAUGUAAUUAAUUUACCAAAAGGAAUAAAUUUAAGAUAUAUUAUUAUGAGUAAAGAAGAAAAGAUGAACAAUAACUACAUUCCUGUGUUUUAUUCCCUUUUUUGAAUGAAAUUUUGUAAUAUCUAUUAAAAUUAAAAUUACAGCUAACCUUAUAUCUAGCCAUUGCAUUCCUGGGACUUGUUACGUAGAG
rnacentral:lncRNA from 1 species